CUAUUUCUAGUUGAAUUUGGGCUUGUUGGAAAACUGUCUCGAGUAUUUGGGCAGUGAGUUUUCACCACGCUUCCUAAGUGAAAGCAGUUUGCUGAAUAAUGUCAAUAUAGCAAUGUUAGUGGUAUUGCUGGCAGAGGAAAAAUGCUUUUUACUCUCAUUCUGGACUUGAGCAGGAGAUAAAGAUAAAUUCAAAAGUUUUAUUGGUACUUCGGAAGUGCUAUACUUGUCCUGAUUUGAGCAUGGUGGUCAGGCAUGGAUGAUUGAUGGCAAAGAGGCUAGGUUCCAGUCCCAGCUGGUGGUGAAACCUUGGGCAAAUGAUUGAUCUUCCCUAAGCCUCAGUUUUCUCAUCUGUAAGAUGGAGUAAGUCUUCUGCAAGAUGGAACACAAAGCAAAUUCGAGCGAUUUUCUUAUUUGAGUUCAAAAUGGGCUGUAAAGCAGUGGAGACAACUCGCAACAUCAACAAUCCAUUUGGCCCAGGAACUGCUAAUGAAUGUACAGUGGAGUGGUGGUUCAAGAAGUCUGGCAAAGGAGAUGAGAGCCUUGAAGAUGAGGAGUGUAGUGGCUGACCAUUGGAAAUUGACAACAACCAAUUAAGAGCGGUCAUCAAAGC
rnacentral:lncRNA from 10 species